UAGGGAGUCUUCGGCAAUGGACGAAAGUCUGACCGAGCAACGCCGCGUGAGUGAAGAAGGUUUUCGGAUCGUAAAACUCUGUUGGUAGAGAAGAACGUUGGUGAGAGUGGAAAGCUCAUCAAGUGACGGUAACUACCCAGAAAGGGACGGCUAACUACGUGCCAG
rnacentral:rRNA from 1 species